rnacentral:rRNA from 1 species
ACGGAGGAUGCGAGCGUUAUCCGGAUUCAUUGGGUUUAAAGGGUGCGUAGGCGGACUAUUAAGUCAGUGGUGAAAUCCUGCAGCUUAACUGCAGAACUGCCAUUGAUACUGAUAGCCUUGAGUUUAAUUAAGGUAGGCGGAAUGUGUAAUGUAGCGGUGAAAUGCUUAGAUAUUACACAGAACACCGAUAGCGUAGGCAGCUCACUAAACUGUAACUGACGCUGAGGCACGAAAGCGUGGGGAUCGAACAG